UACGCAGGCGGAAAAUUAAGUCAGUAGUGAAAUCCCACAGCUCAACUGUGGAACUGUUAUUGAUACUGGUUUUCUUGAAUAUAGUUGAGGUAGGCGGAAUGUGUAAUGUAGCGGUGAAAUGCUUAGAUAUUACACAGAACACCGAUUGCGAAGGCAGCUUACUAAGCUAUGAUUGACGCUGAGGUACGAAAGCGUGGGGAGCGAACAGGAUUAGAUACCCUGGUAGUCC
rnacentral:rRNA from 1 species